rnacentral:rRNA from 1 species
GGUUCCGUAGGUGAMCUGCGGAAGGAUCAUUG